GUAUAGUAUCGUUUGGUUUAGCCA
rnacentral:siRNA from 1 species